rnacentral:lncRNA from 1 species
AGCUGAGGCCGCAGCACGCCAUUGAGACAUUCACUGAUCACUUCUCCAUUUUCCCUCUGCAAGUUUCAGCCAACUGAUAAAAGACUCGGAAUGUCUGGAAGAAAGGCCCAGCUCUGUGAAGAGAGAGGCGCUUAACUUGGAAAGCCUUGGAGUUGAACAAUUUCUGUCCUCGGAGGGCUGGGCUGGCAUCAUCCACUUGGCUGGUUGGAAGCAAGUGCCGCUUGAUGUGGGCUCUGAGAAAACCCAGACUUGAGUGCCUCGGUGCCAACUGAGAGUCAUGACUUAACAGGAGAAUGGGAAAGCAUCUGGAAUAACCCACAGUGAGCUCAAACAGUGUCUGGUUCAGGGCUACUGAGGGCUGUCCAGACAAGCAGAGACUGGUAUCAGGAAACCAACUCUCCCCUCACCUUCUGCCAAAAAAGGAACUACAAAAAUAGAGUAUGCUUCAGUGGGCAUGGUGGAAAUGCUACGUUGAAUAGCCAUGGAAAGGUGAAUAUUAUUAUUAUUAUUUUUUUUUGGAGGAAGGUUAGCCCUCAGCUAACUACUGCCAGUCCUCCUCUUUUUGCUGAGGAAGCCUGGCUCCGAGCUAACAUCCGUGCCUAUCUUCCUCUAGUUUAUACGUGGGACGCCCCCCACAGCAUGGCUGCCAAGCAGUGCCAUGUCCGCACCCGGGAUCCGAACCAGCGAACCCCGGCCCGCCGAGAAGAGGAACGUGCGAACUUAACUGCUGCGCCACCGGGCCGGCCCCGGAAAGAUGAAUAUUAUUAUAAUAUAAUAUAGGACAGUCUUGGGUUGCUAAUUCCCUCCCUGCAGAUUGACCCCCAUCCCUGAUCAGAACACGUCUUUGACAUAAUAAAGCACCGAAGUUGUACACCCUUCUGUGAAGGAUCAGGGUCUACCAAGCUGGAAUCAGGAACCACCAUGUCCACCCCUUUGACACCUAG